GCGGGGGUAGCCAAGUGGUCAAAGGCGCUGGCUUUAGGAGCCAGUCCUCUAGCGGUUCGCAGGUUCGAAUCCUGUCCCCCGCA
rnacentral:tRNA from 2 species